GCCGGGGUGGCGGAACUGGCAGACGCACGGGACUUAAAAUCCCGAGUCCCCUCAGGGACGUGAGAGUUCGAUCCUCUCCCCCGGCACCA
rnacentral:tRNA from 1 species